ACUCCCUUUUUUGUGUCAGGUGCCCUCAUCGAGAGGGUUAAACGGGAAGCCGGUGACCGCCUAUGCGGUAGUCCGGCGCUGCCCCCGCAACGGUAAGCGAGCAAAAGGAAACCUUGAUGUCACUGGCGGCUGUCCGUGCAAGCGGCGCCGCUGGGAAGACGGUUUUCCAGGGCCAAGGCCCAACUCGCGAGCCCGGAUACCGGCCUGGCAUAUCACCCUGUA
rnacentral:ncRNA from 2 species